GGGCAUGUAGCGCAGUGGUAGCGCGUCCGCUUUGCAUGCGGAAGGUCUAGGGUUCGAUCCCCUACUUGUCCA